AAAUUGAAGAGUUUGAUCAUGGCUCAGAUUGAACGCUGGCGGCAGGCCUAACACAUGCAAGUCGAACGGUAACAGGAAGCAGGUUGCUGCUUCGCUGACGAGUGGCGGACGGGUGAGUAAUGUCUGGGAAACUGCCUGAUGGAGGGGGAUAACUACUGGAAACGGUAGCUAAUACCGCAUAAUGUCGCAAGACCAAAGAGGGGGACCUUCGGGCCUCUUGCCAUCGGAUGUGCCCAGAUGGGAUUAGCUUGUUGGUGAGGUAACGGCUCACCAAGGCGACGAUCCCUAGCUGGUCUGAGAGGAUGACCAGCCACACUGGAACUGAGACACGGUCCAGACUCCUACGGGAGGCAGCAGUGGGGAAUAUUGCACAAUGGGCGCAAGC
rnacentral:rRNA from 1 species